GGCUAAUUCCGUGCCAGCAGCCGCGGUAAUACGGAAGGUCCGGGCGUUAUCCGGGAUUUAUUGGGUUUAAAGGGAGUGCAGGCUGAUGAUUAAGCGUGACGUGAAAUGUAGCCGCUCAACGGCUGAACUGCGUCGCGAACUGGUUAUCUUGAGUGAGUUCGAUGUUGGCGGAAUUCGUGGUGUAGCGGUGAAAUGCUUAGAUAUCACGAAGAACUCCGAUUGCGAAGGCAGCCAACAAGGCCUUUACUGACGCUAAAGCUCGAAGGUGCGGGUAUCGAACAGGAUUAGAUACCCUGGUAGUCCGCACGGUAAACGAUGGAUGCCCGCUGUUUGCGAUAUACUGUGAGCGGCCAAGAGAAAUCGUUAAGCAUCCCACCUGGGGAGUACGCCGGCAACGGUGAAACUCAAAGGAAUUGACGGGGGCCCGCACAAGCGGAGGAACAUGUGGUUUAAUUCGAUGAUACGCGAGGAACCUUACCCGGGCUUGAACUGCAGGAGAACGAUACAGAGAUGUUGAGGCCCUUCGGGGCUCCUGUGGAGGUGCUGCAUGGUUGUCGUCAGCUCGUGCCGUGAGGUGUCGGCUUAAGUGCCAUAACGAGCGCAACCCUUUUCAUUAGUUGCCAUCAGGUAAUGCUGGGCACUCUGGUGAUACUGCCACCGUAAGGUGUGAGGAAGGUGGGGAUGACGUCAAAUCAGCACGGCCCUUACGUCCGGGGCUACACACGUGUUACAAUGGGGGGUACAGAAGGCGGGAUCAAUGCAAAUUGGUUCAAAUCUUAAAAGCCCUCCUCAGUUCGGAUUGGGGUCUGCAACCCGACCCCAUGAAGCUGGAUUCGCUAGUAAUCGCGCAUCAGCCAUGGCGCGGUGAAUACGUUCCCGGGCCUUGUACACACCGCCCGUCAAGCCAUGAAAGCCGGGGGCGCUUGAAGUCCGUGACCGCAAGGAUCGGCCUAGAGCGAAACUGGUAAUUGGGGCUAAGUCGUAACAAGGUAAAUCACUGCCGUCGUAACCCCCC
rnacentral:rRNA from 1 species